rnacentral:rRNA from 1 species
GCCAGCAGCCUUAUUACUCUGCAACUCAACACUGGCAGCCCCACUGUAGCUCAGCAGGUGUGAGCCCGGUCAGUACCUGGAUGGGAGACCUCCUGGGAAAAACUAAGGUUGCUUCUGGAA